rnacentral:rRNA from 1 species
GACGAACGCUGGCGGCGUGCUUAACACAUGCAAGUCGAACGAUGAAGGGGAGCUUGCUCUCCGGAUUAGUGGCGAACGGGUGAGUAACACGUGACUAACCUGCCCCUUUCUCUGGGAUAACGCUCCGAAAGGAGUGCUAAUACCGGAUACGAACUCUGAACACAUGUUCGGAGUUGGAAAGUUUUUCGGAAAGGGAUGGAGUCGCGGCCUAUCAGCUUGUUGGUGAGGUAACGGCUCACCAAGGCGACGACGGGUAGCCGGCCUGAGAGGGCGACCGGCCACACUGGGACUGAGACACGGCCCAGACUCCUACGGGAGGCAGCAGUGGGGAAUAGUGCACAAUGGGCGCAAGCCUGAUGCAGCAACGCCGCGUGAGGGAUGAAGGUCUUCGGAUUGUAAACCUCUUUCAGUAGGGACGAAGCGAAAGUGACGGUACCUAAAGAAGAAGCACCGGCUAACUACGUGCCAGCAGCCGCCGUAA